rnacentral:rRNA from 1 species
CAUAUGCUUGUCUCAAAGAUUAAGCCAUGCAUGUCUGAGUACAGACCGAUCUAAGGUGAAACCGCGAAUGGCUCAUUAAAUCAGUCAUAAUUCCUUGGAUAGUGAAAAACUUUCCUCGGAUAACUGUGGAAAAUCCAGAGCUAAUACGUGCAACUGAGCUCCGACCUCGGCGCGAGCCUUGGGAAGAGCGCAUUUAUUAGAUUCAAAACUGACCGGUGUACUCCUUCGGGAUACGCCGUCUGUCAAAUGUUUGAUGACUCCGGAUAACUUAGCCGAGCGCUACGGUCUUUAGUACCGGCGCCGUAUCUUUCAAGUGUCUGCCUUAUCAGCUUUCGAUUGUAGGUUAAACGCCUACAAUGGCUGUAACGGGUAACGGGGAAUCAGGGUUCGAUUCCGGAGAGGGAGCCUGAGAAACGGCUACCACAUCUAAGGAAGGCAGCAGGCACGCAAAUUACCCACUCCCAGCCCGGGGAGGUAGUGACGAAAAAUAACGAUGCGAGACUCUUCCGAGGCCUCGCAAUCGGAAUGAGUCCAUUUUAAAUCCUUGGACGAGGAUCCAUUGGAGGGCAAGUCUGGUGCCAGCAGCCGCGGUAAUUCCAGCUCCAAUAGCGUAUAUUAAAGUUGCUGCGGUUAAAAAGCUCGUAGUUGGACUUUCUAGAUCCAUUUCGUGGGCGAGUCGCUCGUCGUGUCGUUCCUUACGCAGUCUCUCGAUGACGUACCGAUGUGUUUCUCCCGACUUUCGGUCUGACCGUUGGAAGGGGGUUUCCUCGCGUUACAGAAUUUUGUGGGCGGUGAGGCGUGAUCUUCGAGUAUAGCUCGUCCGCGUUUGGUACAAUUAAAAUUUUGUCGGCUCGCUCGGAGUGCUCUUUACCGAGUGUUCCAGGGUGGCCGACACGUUCACUUUGAAAAAAUUAGAGUGCUUAAAGGGGGCUUAUAUACGGCCGGAAUGUCUGUGCAUGGAAUGAAGUAACAGGACCUCGAUUCUGUUCUUUUUGUCGGUUUUAAUGAACCGAGGUAAUGAUUAAAAGGGACAGACGGUGGCAUUAGUAUUGCGGCGCUAGAGGUGAAAUUCUUGGACCGUCGCAAGACUAACUACUGCGAAAGCAUUUGCCGAGAAUGUUUUCAUUAAUCAAGAACGAAAGUUAGAGGAUCGAAGGCGAUCAGAUACCGCCCUAGUUCUAACCCUAAACUAUGCUAACUAGCGAUCCGCCGGAGUCAUUCCCACGACUCGGCGGGAAGCCCCAGGGAAACCAAAGUCUUUGAGUUCCGGGGGAAGUAUGGUUGCAAAGCUGAAACUUAAAGGAAUUGACGGAAGGGCACCACCAGGAGUGGAGCUGCGGCUUAAUUUGACUCAACACGGGAAACCUCACCAGGCCCGGACAUAAUAAGGAUUGACAGAUUAAGAGCUCUUUCUCGAAUUUAUGGGUGGUGGUGCAUGGCCGUUCUUAGUUGGUGGAGUGAUCUGUCUGGUUGAUUCCGAUAACGAACGAGACUCUACCCUACUAACUAGUCGGCGGAUCGUAACCCUGAGAUGGUUAGUUUGUAUAGGAGAGUUUUGCCUAGAUGAUGUUCGGUCGAAAGGGUUCGUUUUCCGUAGCCAUUCGUGGUGAAAGAUGCGUUUCCCCGUAGAUACGCGACAUUCGUCGAAGCUGCUUUCUGAUUACGGCUACUGCUGGGGGCGUCCGUCGCAAUGUAUCUUCUUAGAGGGAUCAGCGGCGUCUAGCCGCACGAGAAAGAGCAAUAACAGGUCUGUGAUGCCCUUAGAUGUUCUGGGCCGCACGCGCGCUACAAUGUAGGGUACAGCGUGCUUUCCCUCUCCGAAAGGAGCGGGUAACCCGUUGAAACCCCUACCCGAUUGGGAUUGGGGAUUGCAAAUGUUUCCCAUAAACGAGGAAUUCCCAGUAAGUGCGAAUCAUUAAUUCGCGCUGAUUACGUCCCUGCCCUUUGUACACACCGCCCGUCGCUACUACCGAUUGAAUGAUUCAGUGAGGGCAUCGGACUGGCGCCUUCGGUUUAGUAACAUAGACCUUAGGCUGACGGAAAGAUGUCCGAACUUGAUCAUUUAGAGGAAGUAAAAGUCGUAACAAGGUUUCCGUAG